rnacentral:snoRNA from 1 species
UUUGAGAGUGAUGAGUUGCACUUAAAUCAUUUGGGGUGUGUUGCAGUGGCAUCAACACUCCAAUCUGAUUCAACCUGAUGACAUGCGCUGUGCACAGGGGCCAUCUGACUCAAA